rnacentral:tRNA from 1 species
GGAUGUAGCUCAAGCGGUAGCUCACUCACCUGGCAUGCGUGUGGCCUGGGUUCGAUCCUCAGCACCA